rnacentral:rRNA from 1 species
AUGCUUGCCAAGGGCUUCCCCGAGAUUUGGUGCAAUUGGGUUGACAGCCUGAACCGUUCCAGUCAGUCGGCUGUUGUUCUGAAUGGCAAGCCGGGCCCUUGGAUCAACUGCAAACAGGGGCUACGACAGGGCGACUCGCUUUCUCCGUAUCUUUUUAUUAUUGUUGCUGAUGUCCUUCAGCGUCUGAUCUACCAGGCCUCCAAUGAUGAUAGGUUAGCUCACCCAAUUAAUCAGGAGCUACCUUGCCCAGUUCUUCAGUAUGCUGACGAUAAGUUGAUCAUCUUGCCGGCGGAGGCUGCUCAACUUCAGACCUUAAAAGCUAUCCUGCUUCAAUUCUCUCAAGCCACGGGGUUGCAUAUCAACUUCCAUAAGAGCACGUUUGCCCCCAUCCACGUGCCUCCUGAGUUAGCCAACGAUUUAGCCGACAUUUUUGGUUGCCCGGUUGCUUCUUUCCCUCAGUCCUACCUCGGCCUUCCUCUAUCUACCCACAAACUUCGCAUCGCCGAUUUCUUUUUCAUUAUCGACAAGAUUGACCGCCGCCUUGCUGGAUGGCAUGGGAUCCUUCUUUCUAUUGCUGGGCGAGCUAUCCUGGUUCGAGCUGUUCUUAGAGCCCUACCUAUAUACGCCAUGACUUCUCUGCUGCUGCCGAUGGGUGUUGUCACUGAAAUAGAUAAACGAUGCAGAGCCUUUUUUUGA